rnacentral:rRNA from 1 species
AACGAACGCUGGCGGCAGGCCUAACACAUGCAAGUCGAGCGCGCCUUCGGGUGAGCGGCGGACGGGUUAGUAACGCGUGGGAAUAUGCCCGGUACUAGGGAAUAGCCACUGGAAACGGUGAGUAAUACCUUAUACGCCCUUCGGGGGAAAGAUUUAUCGGUAUCGGAUUAGCCCGCGUUAGAUUAGGUAGUUGGUGGGGUAAUGGCCUACCAAGCCUACGAUCUAUAGCUGGUUUUAGAGGAUGAUCAGCAACACUGGGACUGAGACACGGCCCAGACUCCUACGGGAGGCAGCAGUGGGGAAUUUUCCGCAAUGGGCGCAAGCCUGACGGAGCAAUUUCGCGUGAAGGAUGACGGCCUAUGGGUUGUAAACC